rnacentral:misc_RNA from 1 species
GAUGAAGAACGUAGCGAAAUGCGAUACGUAAUGUGAAUUGCAGAAUUCAGUGAAUCAUCGAGUCUUUGAACGCACAUUGCGCCCCCUGGUAUUCCGGGGGGCAUGCCUGUCCGAGCGUCAUUGCUGCCCUCAAGCACGGCUUGUGUGUUGGGCCUCCGUCCUCCUCGCGGGGGACGGGCCCGAAAGGCAGCGGCGGCACCGCGUCCGGUCCUCGAGCGUAUGGGGCUUCGUCACCCGCUCUUGUAGGCCCGGCCGGCGCUUGCCGACACAUCAAUCUUUUUUCCAGGUUGACCUCGGAUCAGGUAGGGAUACCCGCUGAACUUAAGCAUAUCAAUAAGCGGAGGA